CAAAAUGACUCUCGGCAACGGAUAUCUCGGCUCUCGCAUCGAUGAAGAACGUAGCGAAAUGCGAUACUUGGUGUGAAUUGCAGAAUCCCGUGAACCAUCGAGUCUUUGAACGCAAGUUGCGCCCGAAGCCAUUAUGCCGAGGGCACGCCUGCCUGGGUGUCACG
rnacentral:rRNA from 2 species